GGUGACUUUUUCGAAUCUGAAUGAACUAGAUAAUCAAAGAUGGCAAUGCCUUUUACAAUUUGUUAGCUGACGGUCAAUCCAAUCACCUGGUCGCAAUGCCACUUACAGCAAGGUAUCAGCAAUGGAUUGUGGUCAAACAAGUAAUGCAAAGACGUAGAAACCCCUGGCAUACUCAAAGCCCAACAAACGAUUUGUGGCAGAGGUUGUUAAAGUCAAUAAAAGACUAUAGUGACUGGUUGCAGAAAAGACCUAAUUGAGUGUGUGAUACUCUAUUGAAUGAAUUUUAGUUAGAUCAAGAAGAAGAUUAUUUUAAUUUUCUUUGGAUGUCUUCUGCUAAUACGCUCCACAGCGCUUCUUCCAACAUCCUUACACUGAUAAAAAUCUUGUUAAAUUCUUUGUUAUCCCUCUUUGAAGACAUAAUGUUUUUAAACGUCCUCCAGUAAUGUUUACUUUUUAUAUAUAGAAACUCACAUUUUUCUGAACGCACAUUUGAUGUACAGAUUUUAAGCAUUUAGAUUGAUUCAAAACCAUACAAUUUUUUAAAAAUCUCAUUCAAAAGUCUGACCAUGCCAAAAGCAUACAAUUUUUACAUGAUAAACGAUCCAAUUUGUCGAAUUGGACAAAUCGAAUUUGUUUAAUCGAAUCGUGUAUCACCGCAUUAACACGCUUCCACAUUUUCGAUUUCUCCUCAUUUCUGGAAAUCAGGAUAAUUGAUUUUCAAAAUUUCAUGUUAUAAAAUAAGUAGGGGGUCACAAGUGUUGUGUUUUUCAUUGACAAUAUAAGCAACACUUGUACUUUUUACAUUCUUUUGUUUAAAUAAUUCUGUAUUUAAGCUUUUCGAAAUUAUGAAACUUGCAAUUAAGACAAAAAGAGGUGUCUUUGAUGUGAGAAUAUGUUUUGCACUUUAUGUGAAUGUUUUCGCUAUUACUUUAGUACAUACACAAGAAAAAUUGCAAAGGCCAGUAAAGAAAUACUAUGUUUAAUUUUUUUUUAAUCUGACCGCAAAAACUAAGAGUAUAUACUCCUCUCGUUUUUUAGCCAAUAGCACCCUAAUUAUUAGUUCUAUGAAGGAACUUUUUAGACUUUUUUGACAAUGGGUUUUAAUCAGGAUGUUCCUGAAGUAUUUAAUGAUACCGUAAGGAAAAGUGAGCAUGAUUUUUUAAAUCACAAUAUCUUCUUCACAUUAAUUUAAUGUUUUUGUAUUAAUAUAUGGAAAAAUACUAACAUUUUUUAUAGGUUAAGUUUUUGUAUUAAAACGAAAAAUACAAGGAUUUAUAAGGUGGAGAAAAUUUGACCCCCUCCUUCACAUUCGAAGUUUCUUUCACAAAACCACUGAAUUUUUUCCACAUCUUUUUUGAUUAUCUUAUUCAGGAGUGAUGUAUCUAAAAUGGCUUUUCUUAAUUCUAAGUUGUUUUGUUUAAAUUUGCCUUUUUUAUCGAAAUUCAACUUUUGUAACUCAUAUUUUUACACCAACUCAUAUUCAUACACCAAAACUUUCAUCAGCGUUUUCAAAGCGAAAAAAUUCAAAAAACCAUUCAGGAUAUAUUAUUCAGCUUGAUUUUAAAAAUUUAUGUAAAAAAAGUCAAAAUGUGAGCACUACUUCACAAAAAAAUUAACAUAAAGAAAAAAAGUUUACAAAUUCUCAACGAUAAAUAACUUGCCACAUGACUUUGUUAAAAUCACCACAGAACGAUCACUUUAAGCGUGCUGCUUGCAGGUUUUAUUUUGAGAAUGAUAUUAAACUUUAUUCAAUUAUUCUUUUUCUUUCUGUAUGCACGUGUUUAGAUUUAAAAAGUGAAUAUGACUGAAAACAAAAAUAAUAAAGAGACUUCAAUUGGUGAAAUGAAAGGUGUUGGAUAUGAGAGUUUGGUCUUCGUGACGGGACUUAAAUUCGGUAUUUUCAAGACAAAAACAAGGAAAAACAAAAAACAAUUCCACCACACACAUUAUUAAAUAUGGGUAAGUCGCUAUAUCAAAAACGAGAGUUGGCACCAGGU